rnacentral:rRNA from 1 species
AGCGAACGCUGGCGGCAGGCCUAACACAUGCAAGUCGAACGAACCCUUCGGGGUUAGUGGCGGACGGGUGAGUAACACGUGGGAACGUGCCUUUAGGUUCGGAAUAACUCAGGGAAACUUGUGCUAAUACCGAAUGUGCCCUUCGGGGGAAAGAUUUAUCGCCUUUAGAGCGGCCCGCGUCUGAUUAGCUAGUUGGUGAGGUAAAGGCUCACCAAGGCUACGAUCAGUAGCUGGUCUGAGAGGGUGACCAGCCACAUUGGGACUGAGACACGGCCCAAACUCCUACGGGAGGCAGCAGUGGGGAAUCUUGCGCAAUGGGCGAAAGCCUGACGCAGCCAUGCCGCGUGGAUGAUGAAGGUCUUAGGAUUGUAAAAUCCUUUCACCGGUGAAGAUAAUGACUGUAGCCGGAGAAGAAGCCCCGGCUAACCUCGUGCCAGCCGCCGCCGUAAAAC